rnacentral:lncRNA from 1 species
GCGGCUCGGGGACACGCUGACCCUGACAGCUCCCCCAGAACCGUGAGAUAAUGCGUGUCUGCUGUUUGCAGCCGCCCCGCUGGUGACAGUUUGUCGGAGCAGCCUUGAGACAUGGACGCCACGUCCAGAGGAACAGUGGAGCCAAAGGACAGCUCGCUGAGCGCCUGGCUGAGUUCACGGGGAGAAUUUACAGAGACGCUGCACGGAUGGAGGGGUUUUUCUACUUCCAGUUUCCGAGAGACUGGCUUCACCUCCAUCACUGAUAGGGACCCUCAAACCUCCCGAUCCCACCUGACCCUGCAUGGAGGAGAAGAAGCAUCCCUCAUCCCACCGUGGUCCCUUGCCAACCCUUCAGAGAAGGGAAACAGAGACGGUGACAUCACUGGGCUGCUGCGAAGAGUAACCGAGAGAAGACAUGUGCAGGCGUCUGGCACAAGGACCCUCAGUGAGGCAUGUGGGAUCUUCGCUUCCCCACCAAGGAUCAAACCCACAUCCCUGGAGCUGGAAGGUGAAGUCUUAACCACUAGACCUGUACAGAAGUUCCUUAGGCACCUUCAGUAG